UUAAGAGUUUGAUCCUGGCUCAGAGCGAACGCUGGCGGCAGGCUUAACACAUGCAAGUCGAACGAUAAGCUAGACUUCGGUUUAGUGGACAGUGGCAGACGGGUGAGUAACGCGUGGGAAUCUACCUUUGAGUGGGGAAUAACAAUUAGAAAUGAUUGCUAAUACCGCAUAUACCCUCCGGGGGAAAGGCUUCGGCCGCUCUUAGAUGAGCCCGCGUACGAUUAGUUUGUUGGUGAGGUAAAGGCUCACCAAGACUACGAUCGUUAGCUGGUUUGAGAGGAUGAUCAGCCACACUGGGACUGAGACACGGCCCAGACUCCUACGGGAGGCAGCAGUGGGGAAUAUUGGACAAUGGGCGAAAGCCUGAUCCAGCCAUGCCGCGUGAGUGAAGAAGGCCUUAGGGUUGUAAAACUCUUUCGACAGGGAAGAUAAUGACGGUACCUGUAUAAGAAGCUCCGGCUAACUCCGUGCCAGCAGCCGCGGUAAUACGGAGGGGGCAAGCGUUGCUCGGAAUUACUGGGCGUAAAGCGAGCGUAGGCGGUUAAUCAAGUUGGUGGUGAAAGCCCGGAGCUCAACUCCGGAACUGCCAUCAAAACUGGUUAACUUGAGAUUGGUAGAGGAAAAUGGAAUUCCUAGUGUAGAGGUGAAAUUCGUAGAUAUUGGGAAGAACAUCGGUGGCGAAGGCGAUUUUCUGGGCCAUAUCUGACGCUGAGGUUCGAAAGCGUGGGUAGCAAACAGGAUUAGAUACCCUGGUAGUCCACGCCGUAAACGAUGAGUGCUAGACGUUGGAAAUUAAUUUUUCAGUGUCGUAGUUAACGCAUUAAGCACUCCGCCUGGGGAGUACGGUCGCAAGAUUAAAACUCAAAGGAAUUGACGGGGGCCCGCACAAGCGGUGGAGCAUGUGGUUUAAUUCGACGCAACGCGAAGAACCUUACCAGCUCUUGACAUUGCUAAGUCGCGAGUUUUAGAGAUAAAACUCUUCAGUUCGGCUGGACUUAGUACAGGUGCUGCAUGGCUGUCGUCAGCUCGUGUCGUGAGAUGUUGGGUUAAGUCCCGCAACGAGCGCAACCCUUGUCCUUAGUUGCCAGCAAUUCGGUUGGGCACUCUAGGGAGACUGCCGGUGAUAAACCGGAGGAAGGCGGGGAUGACGUCAAGUCCUCAUGGCCCUUACGGGCUGGGCUACACACGUGCUACAAUGGCGUCUACAAUGGGUCGCAAUAGGGCAACCUAAAGCUAAUCUCAAAAAGACGUCUCAGUUCGGAUUGUACUCUGCAACUCGAGUACAUGAAGUUGGAAUCGCUAGUAAUCGCGGAUCAGAACGCCGCGGUGAAUACGUUCCCGGGCCUUGUACACACCGCCCGUCACACCAUGGGAGUUGGUUUUACCCGAAGGCGAUGUGCUAACUUCGGAGGCAGUCGACCACGGUAAGGUCAGCGACUGGGGUGAAGUCGUAACAAGGUAGCCGUAGGGGAACCUGUGGCUGGAUCACCUCCUU
rnacentral:rRNA from 1 species